rnacentral:rRNA from 1 species
GAUGAACGCUGGCGGCGUGCCUAAUACAUGCAAGUCGAGCGAACAGACGAGGAGCUUGCUCCUCUGACGUUAGCGGCGGACGGGUGAGUAACACGUGGAUAACCUACCUAUAAUACUGGGAUAACUUCGGGAAACCGGAGCUAAUACCGGAUAAUAUAUUGAACCGCAUGGUUCAAUAGUGAAAGACGGUUUUGCUGUCACUUAUAGAUGGAUCCGCGCCGCCUUAGCUAGUUGGUAAGGUAACGGCUUACCAAGGCAACGAUGCGUAGCCGACCUGAGAGGGUGAUCGGCCACACUGGAACUGAGACACGGUCCAGACUCCUACGGGAGGCAGCAGUAGGGAAUCUUCCGCAAUGGGCGAAAGCCUGACGGAGCAACGCCGCGUGAGUGAUGAAGGUCUUCGGAUCGUAAAACUCUGUUAUUAGGGAAGAACAAAUGUGUAAGUAACUAUGCACGUCUUGACGGUACCUAAUCAGAAAGCCACGGCUAACUACGUG